GGGUUGUGAGGUUAAGCGACUAAGCGUACACGGUGGAUGCCCUGGCAGUCAGAGGCGAUGAAGGACGUGCUAAUCUGCGAUAAGCGUCGGUGAGGUGAUAUGAACCGUUAUAACCGGCGAUUUCCGAAUGGGGAAACCCAGUGUGUUUCGACACACUAUCAUUAACUGAAUCCAUAGGUUAAUGAGGCGAACCGGGGGAACUGAAACAUCUAAGUACCCCGAGGAAAAGAAAUCAACCGAGAUUCCCCCAGUAGCGGCGAGCGAACGGGGAGGAGCCCAGAGCCUGAAUCAGUGUG
rnacentral:rRNA from 1 species